rnacentral:lncRNA from 1 species
UCUUUCCAGCUUUUUGGCAUACAUAUAUGCAUAUGUAUAUAUAUAUGCAUAGUCUCACACCUACAGAACAUCUCGGCUAAAUCCAUCAACUGAAGUUAAAUUUUGAGAUGACAACGUGACUUUGAGGAUAAACUUUAGUAGCCUGUUACAGCUUCUGGCAGUUCUGGCAGCCAGAAGGGCUAACCUUGUCCUGGAUGCAUCAGGCACAGCACUGCUAGCUGAUCAAGAGGAGGGAUUGUCCUGCUCUGCUCUGCUCUGCCUGGUGCGGCCACACCUUGUGUGCAGUUUGGGCAGCAUAAAAAGGACAUAAAGGUGAGUGUCCAAAGGAGGGCUAUGAAGAUGGUGUAGGGUCUAGAGGGCAAGACAUACGAGGACCAUCUGAGGUCCCUUGGUGUGCUCAGCCCCGAGCAGAGCAGGCUGAGGGGAGGCCUCAGGGCGGCCUGCAGCUCCCUCAGGAGGGGAGCGGAGGGGCAGGUGCUGAGCUCUGCUCUCUGGGGACAGCGACAGGACCCGAGGGCACGGCAUGGAGCUGGGACAAGGGAGGGUCAGGCUGGGGGUUAGGGAAAGGCUCUGCACCCAGAGGGUGGUCGGGCACUGGGACAGGCUGCCCAGGGCAGUGGUCAUGGAACCAGCCCUGCUGGGGUUCAGGAAGCAUUUGGACAACGCUCUCAGACACAUGGUCUGAGUUCUGUGUGGUGCUGUGUGGAGCCAGGAGUUGGACCCCAUGAUCCAUGUGUCCCUUCCAAUUUGGGAUAUUCUGCAAUUCUAUGGUUGUACAAAGUGAAAGCAAAACUUUUCAAGGGGCAGGAGGGAGACUGGGGAGAAGUUAGCUUUCUCAUAGAAACUACAGAGGAAAGACUGGGCAUGCUGGAUGGUAUUCGCUAUAGAGUUACAGUUUGGCUUCUUGGAUACUUCUCUUAAGAAUGAAGACAGUGAAAGAAACAGGCUCUUUAGUCCUUUGUCUGGAGGGAGAGGUCCUCACAAAACAGAGAUGGUAUAAAUAUAAACCCAUAAUGCUACAUCAAAUACAUAUGUGGAGCUUUCAAGAGUGCACAGUGCACCAGCUGUUUUAUAUGAGGCACAAGCUAAGCAUGGCAUGCAACUCAGAGAGACAAAUAACUUUUUCAUCAAAGUACAGUUAUGGUCAACCCAUUGCCCGUGGAAUAAAAUUAAAACUGUUCUAUUAGGAUCUGUGGAUGGGAAAUGCUACUAAUUGUCAAAUCCAAAUGUCUGUGAUCUGGUUCUUCUUCCCAGUUUAAUCAAUUAUUCUGGGCACACAAGAGCCAUGUUCAGUCUCCUGUUCAGUCUCUUAUGCUGCUCACCUGUUCCAAGGAGAGGGUUAAGCCAGCACAUAGCCAGAUCUGGUUCAAGAUGUCUCUGUGCAAAUGGAAUUGUCACUAAAAGCGUGUAGAUUGGGUUGUUCUGAUACGAGAAACAUGGAGAAAAAGAAGGGGAUGAAAGGGAGUCAGAGGGAAUUUGGAAGAAAUGGGUUUAUUGUAACCCAGCAGUAGUAUCUGCUGCUUCUGGCUGAUUACAACUUCUCCUCACUCAAACAAAAGUUUUGUGCUUUUCUUUCCUAUCCCUGUCUGGUAAAACUAAGCCACACUUUAUAGGGUUCUGAUAGACACAGAACAGACUGCAGGCUACCUUGUCACUUGCUUCAAUCUAGUAUUUGAGACCCUUAAUAAGCCCCCUCCCUCCUCGCUGUCUCAAGUUUGGUGGCAGUUAUUUUGCCAGAAAUGUCCUGAAGGAAGUUUUACCUUCACAUAGUCCAUCUAAAAACUGGGCCUGCAUUCUUAGUCUAAACUACAUGCUACUUGGUAGUGUAACCCAGCUGGUUAACCUGAAGGCAGGUAAAGGUUUUUACUACUACCUUUGAUAGAGGUGGAAAAGUUUUGAUGAACUGACAGAUGCAGAUUUUACUUCUGGCCAGUGUAUAAUUUAGAAUAAAUGAGCAUUAUAUAUAUAUAUGUUUCCUGUU